CAGCCGCCGCGGUAAUACCGGCGGCCCGAGUGGCGGCCACUAUUAUUGGGCCUAAAGCGUCCGUAGCCGGGCUGGUAAGUCCUCCGGGAAAUCUGGUCGCUUAACGAUCAGACUUCCGGAGGAUACUGCUGGCCUAGGGACCGGGAGAGGCCGAGGGGAUUCCCGGAGUAGGGGUGAAAUCCUAUAAUCCCGGGAGGACCACCUGUGGCGAAGGCGCUCGGCUGGAACGCGUCCGACGGUGAGGGACGAAGGCCAGGGGAGCAAACCGGAUUAGAUACCCGGGUAGUCCUGGCUGUAAACGAUGCGGACUUUGUGUCGGACAAGCUAUGAGCUUGUCCGGUGCCGGAGGGAAACCGUUAAGUCCGCCGCCUGGGGAGUACGGCCGCAAGGCUGAAACUUAAGGAAUUGGCGGG
rnacentral:rRNA from 1 species